rnacentral:lncRNA from 1 species
AGGGAGAGAAGGAGAUAAAAAGAAGCACUGGAUUGGAGCAUUUAAAAACCAGCCGGCAGCGUCGAGUCCGGACCUCGGAUUACGAAGCCGGCCCCUUCUCUGCUGCCUUUGUCGAACACCUUGUUUGUUUUCUCCCAUAAAAGUAGUCCGGUUAGCAAACAUGGGAGUGCUGAUGUGGAGGCUUCACCUUUUCUUUCUUUUUUUUUUUCUUUUUUAUCACAAAUGCCACUUACAUGUUUAACAUAUUCUAUCUUUUUGUAACACUAUUUACUUGCGUCUCAAGAAUUGAUGAGCUACCUGAAAAAUUUCUCCUUGAAGCCCCUAAUCAAUCAACAUAGGGCACACCCUUUUAGAUUCUAAGUUC